rnacentral:rRNA from 1 species
GUAGGGAUACCCGCUGAACUUAAGCAUAUCAAUAAC